GGCCUCGUAGCUCAGCUGGUAGAGCGUGCGUCGCACAAAAGCGGAGGUGACGUCCAUAAAUGUGGGUUUGAAUCCCAUCGAGGUUA
rnacentral:tRNA from 1 species